UACGAAGGGGGCUAGCGUUGCUCGGAAUUACUGGGCGUAAAGCGCACGUAGGCGGAUCUUUAAGUCAGGGGUGAAAUCCUGGAGCUCAACUCCAGAACUGCCUUUGAUACUGAGGACCUUGAGUUCGGGAGAGGUGAGUGGAACUGCGAGUGUAGAGGUGAAAUUCGUAGAUAUUCGCAAGAACACCAGUGGCGAAGGCGGCUCACUGGUCCGGUACUGACGCUGAGGUGCGAAAGCGUGGGGAGCAAACAGG
rnacentral:rRNA from 1 species